CAAAGCCUUUAAGUGUGACUGCACUUAAUUUAACCAAAGUUGUAAACUUACAGUCAUGAAGCUGCUAAUCGUGUCUUUGAUGCUGGUGUUUCUGUGUAUGUCAUGUCAGGGUGUGUCACUCACAGUGAAGCCGUUAUGUAGCACCUGUGCUAUCGGUGACCAGGUGUGUCUGUCACAGUGCCAGACUGGACUGUUCCCUCUGGUCAGGAGGAACUGCUUCUGUGGUAUCAGUGACCCCACGUCAUUAGAGUGUCUGUCUGGAAACCCAUGUGAGGGGGUGGGCAAAUAAAUAAACAAUACGUUUUAAAGCUU